ACAUCAGAUACCGGCAAUUUGAUCCGAGUACCAAGAGUAGGUCCAACACUUGCAGCUGCUCAUCCGCCUUAUGGUGAAACUUUUCCGGGCAGGCCCACCGGUCGCUGGUCAGAUGGUCGCCUAAUUAUAGACUAUAUUGCUAUGGAACUUGGCCUUCCAUUACUUAAUCCUUAUCUGAAUAGCAAUGCUUCCUUCAACAACGGUGUCAAUUUUGCAGUCGCUGGCGCAACGGCCCUUAACACGUCUUUCCUUGCAGCAAGAGGCGUUGUUGUACCAGCAAUAUUUACUCCCCUCAGCGGUCAGCUUGAUUGGCUUCGCCGCCACCUUCAUUCCCUCUGUUCAACUCCAUCUGAAUGUUCAAAUAGGCUUAAGACAGACCAGGGACAGGAACAGUUGCUGACAGUUAUGUGCAUUUUGCACACGGCGUAACUUUUUUUGCAGAUGGAACGGUUGCAGCUUCCAGCUUAAGACUGCUCUUAUUAUGCUUGGCGAUAUUGGCUAUAAUGACAUCGACUUCGGGUUAAGCCAGAACAAAACCCUUGAAGAAAUUCAAGCUUAUGUACCAAAGCAAUUGCCAAUGCAACAAGAGUACGUUUUCGAUUAAUGAAUUUCUUUAUUUGACACAGUUGCCUAGUUUACCAAAUCUACAAAAGAUUACACUUGUAAAAUCAAUUGCGGGUUGGUGAUGAGGUGGACUGACAACUCAGCAACUUGUAAUAAAUACAGUCCAA